UACAGAGGGUGCGAGCGUUAAUCGGAAUUACUGGGCGUAAAGCGUGCGUAGACGGUUAUUUAAGUCGGGUGUGAAAGCCCCGGGCUCAACCUGGGAAUUGCAUUCGAGACUGAAUAGCUAGGGUACGGUAGAGGGAAGCGGAAUUUCCGGUGUAGCGGUGAAAUGCGUAGAUAUCGGAAGGAACAUCAGUGGCGAAAGCGGCUUCCUGGACCAGUACCGACGUCAGGCACGAAAGCGUGGGGAGCAAACAGG
rnacentral:rRNA from 1 species